GGGUUGUGAGGUUAAGCGACUAAGCGUACACGGUGGAUGCCCUGGCAGUCAGAGGCGAUGAAGGGCGUGCUAAUCUGCGAUAAGCGCCGGUAAGGUGAUAUGAACCGUUAUAACCGGCGAUACCCGAAUGGGGAAACCCAGUGUGACUCGUCACACUAUCAUUAACUGAAUCCAUAGGUUAAUGAGGCGAACCGGGGGAACUGAAACAUCUAAGUACCCCGAGGAAAAGAAAUCAACCGAGAUUCCCCCAGUAGCGGCGAGCGAACGGGGAGGAGCCCAGAGCCUGAAUCAGCAUGUGUGUUAGUGGAAGCGUCUGGAAAGGCGCGCGAUACAGGGUGACAGCCCCGUACACAAAAGCGCAUGUGCUGUGAGCUCGAUGAGUAGGGCGGGACACGUGGUAUCCUGUCUGAAUAUGGGGGGACCAUCCUCCAAGGCUAAAUACUCCUGACUGACCGAUAGUGAACCAGUACCGUGAGGGAAAGGCGAAAAGAACCCCGGCGAGGGGAGUGAAAAAGAACCUGAAACCGUGUACGUACAAGCAGUGGGAGCACAGGUUUACCUGUGUGACUGCGUACCUUUUGUAUAAUGGGUCAGCGACUUAUAUUCUGUAGCAAGGUUAACCGAAUAGGGGAGCCGGAGGGAAACCGAGUCUUAAUUGGGCGUUAAGUUGCAGGGUAUAGACCCGAAACCCGGUGAUCUAGCCAUGGGCAGGUUGAAGGUUGGGUAACACUAACUGGAGGACCGAACCGACUAAUGUUGAAAAAUUAGCGGAUGACCUGUGGCUGGGGGUGAAAGGCCAAUCAAACCGGGAGAUAGCUGGUUCUCCCCGAAAGCUAUUUAGGUAGCGCCUCGUGAACUCAUCUCCGGGGGUAGAGCACUGUUUCGGCUAGGGGGCCAUCCCGGCUUACCAACCCGAUGCAAACUGCGAAUACCGGAGAAUGUUAUCACGGGAGACACACGGCGGGUGCUAACGUCCGUCGUGAAGAGGGAAACAACCCAGACCGCCAGCUAAGGUCCCAAAGUCAUGGUUAAGUGGGAAACGAUGUGGGAAGGCCCAGACAGCCAGGAUGUUGGCUUAGAAGCAGCCAUCAUUUAAAGAAAGCGUAAUAGCUCACUGGUCGAGUCGGCCUGCGCGGAAGAUGUAACGGGGCUAAACCAUGCACCGAAGCUGCGGCAGCGACGCUGAUGCGUUGUUGGGUAGGGGAGCGUUCUGUAAGCCUGCGAAGGUGGCCUGUGAGGGUUGCUGGAGGUAUCAGAAGUGCGAAUGCUGACAUAAGUAACGAUAAAGCGGGUGAAAAGCCCGCUCGCCGGAAGACCAAGGGUUCCUGUCCAACGUUAAUCGGGGCAGGGUGAGUCGACCCCUAAGGCGAGGCCGAAAGGCGUAGUCGAUGGGAAACGGGUUAAUAUUCCCGUACUUGGUGUUACUGCGAAGGGGGGACGGAGAAGGCUAUGUUGGCCGGGCGACGGUUGUCCCGGUUUAAGCGUGUAGGUGUGUGUUCCAGGUAAAUCCGGUUCACUUUAACACUGAGGCGUGAUGACGAGGCACUACGGUGCUGAAGCAACAAAUGCCCUGCUUCCAGGAAAAGCCUCUAAGCAUCAGGUAACAUCAAAUCGUACCCCAAACCGACACAGGUGGUCAGGUAGAGAAUACCAAGGCGCUUGAGAGAACUCGGGUGAAGGAACUAGGCAAAAUGGUGCCGUAACUUCGGGAGAAGGCACGCUGACACGUAGGUGAAGUGAUUUACUCAUGGAGCUGAAGUCAGUCGAAGAUACCAGCUGGCUGCAACUGUUUAUUAAAAACACAGCACUGUGCAAACACGAAAGUGGACGUAUACGGUGUGACGCCUGCCCGGUGCCGGAAGGUUAAUUGAUGGGGUCAGCGCAAGCGAAGCUCCUGAUCGAAGCCCCGGUAAACGGCGGCCGUAACUAUAACGGUCCUAAGGUAGCGAAAUUCCUUGUCGGGUAAGUUCCGACCUGCACGAAUGGCGUAAUGAUGGCCAGGCUGUCUCCACCCGAGACUCAGUGAAAUUGAACUCGCUGUGAAGAUGCAGUGUACCCGCGGCAAGACGGAAAGACCCCGUGAACCUUUACUAUAGCUUGACACUGAACAUUGAGCCUUGAUGUGUAGGAUAGGUGGGAGGCUUUGAAGUGUGGACGCCAGUCUGCAUGGAGCCGACCUUGAAAUACCACCCUUUAAUGUUUGAUGUUCUAACGUGGACCCGUGAUCCGGGUUGCGGACAGUGUCUGGUGGGUAGUUUGACUGGGGCGGUCUCCUCCUAAAGAGUAACGGAGGAGCACGAAGGUUGGCUAAUCCUGGUCGGACAUCAGGAGGUUAGUGCAAUGGCAUAAGCCAGCUUGACUGCGAGCGUGACGGCGCGAGCAGGUGCGAAAGCAGGUCAUAGUGAUCCGGUGGUUCUGAAUGGAAGGGCCAUCGCUCAACGGAUAAAAGGUACUCCGGGGAUAACAGGCUGAUACCGCCCAAGAGUUCAUAUCGACGGCGGUGUUUGGCACCUCGAUGUCGGCUCAUCACAUCCUGGGGCUGAAGUAGGUCCCAAGGGUAUGGCUGUUCGCCAUUUAAAGUGGUACGCGAGCUGGGUUUAGAACGUCGUGAGACAGUUCGGUCCCUAUCUGCCGUGGGCGCUGGAGAACUGAGGGGGGCUGCUCCUAGUACGAGAGGACCGGAGUGGACGCAUCACUGGUGUUCGGGUUGUCAUGCCAAUGGCACUGCCCGGUAGCUAAAUGCGGAAGAGAUAAGUGCUGAAAGCAUCUAAGCACGAAACUUGCCCCGAGAUGAGUUCUCCCUGAGACUUAGAGUCUCCUGAAGGAACGUUGAAGACGACGACGUUGAUAGGCCGGGUGUGUAAGCGCAGCGAUGCGUUGAGCUAACCGGUACUAAUGAACCGUGAGGCUUAACCUUACAACGCCGAAG
rnacentral:rRNA from 1 species